CUCGAAAAUCGUCCCAGAAUUUGAAUCACCCUCUCGAAAAUUGGAAUUUCUCUCUUGAUCGUGUUUCCCCUCUCGAUUCCUCUCUCAUAACUUGCAAUUUUUCUCGUCUUUGCAUAGCAACAAAUUUCAAAUGAUCCUUCUGCAACAAGACCUCCAUGUCAUGGUUUUGUGGCUGACUAGAUUGUUAGAAGACUGGGAUGAAAAAAAGGUUGCUCAAGAAUACUAAUCAACUUCCCACACACUAUACAUCUAUCUAUCUCUGGUGGUGGUUGGCAAUGGAAAAUCUUAUUGAAUAACUAUAGCUGACAAUUCUACAUUACUGUCAUCGAAACACACAAUUACACAAGUAUUGAGUGAUUGCAUCAUUGUAUCAUGAAAGCUGAUGAAGAAAAGGUGGUGGAAGUUGUCACUCAAUCAAUGGAAAAGUCAUUGUUACUAUAGAAAAAGGGGAAAUAUACAACUAGU